rnacentral:rRNA from 1 species
GCCGCGUGAGUGAGGAAGGUUUUCGGAUUGUAAAGCUCUGUCGAGCGGAAAGAAGUGCAUGGUGGUUAAUAUCCAUCAUGCUUGACGGUACCGCUAAAGGAAGCACCGGCUAACUCCGUGCCAGCAGCCGCGGUAAUACGGGGGGUGCAAGCGUUGUUCGGAAUCAUUGGGCGUAAAGCGCGUGUAGGCGGCUGGACAAGUCAGAUGUGAAAGCCCUGGGCUUAACCCAGGAAGUGCAUUUGAAACUGUUCAGCUAGAGUAAGGGAGAGGAAAGUGGAAUUCCUGGUGUAGAGGUGAAAUUCGUAGAUAUCAGGAGGAACACCGGUGGCGAAGGCGACUUUCUGGCCCUAUACUGACGCUGAGACGCGAAAGCGUGGGUAGCAAACAGGAUUAGAUACCCUGGUAGUCCACGCUGUAAACGAUGUUCACUAGGUGUUGGGGGUAUUGACCCUUCCAGUGCCGCAGCUAACGCAUUAAGUGAACCGCCUGGGGAGUACGGUCGCAAGAUUAAACUCAAAGGAAUU